AGGAUGUAAUAACCCAUAUUUUUGGGUUAUUGAUUUAAAUUAAGAUAAGUAAUUAAAUUUGUAUUAUCUGCUAAGUUAUGCUAAAUUCUCGAUUCAAAGAAUUAAGAUAGAGCUGUAAAUUUUUUUACAUGCAUUAAAUAUUAGAAAAUUACACACUAAGUAAGAGUAGGUGCAUGUGCGCAUAGACUUGCAUUCAUGCACUCACGUUGUGAUAUAGGCAUGGGAAAUACUACUAGCUAGUUGGCCAUAUAAGCUAGACAAUUACAAGAGAGUUAACGUGGCAUUUGAAUAGAUGAAAUUAGACCAGGUACAAAUGAUACCCCGGUAGAUAUUUCCUAGUACUAGAGCUCCAAGUCAAAUAGGUGCAUGUAUGUAAUCAUGAGGAAGAGGCAACGUGGCUUGGUUCUAGAGGAUAUGCAUGCAUGUGUCAGGUGUUUUGAAAACUCUAGUGAAUCAACUACACGUACAGGAGAGGAAUGGAAGCAAACGUGGGUAGAUGCAUGCAUCGGCUGCAUCGCUAGAAACCCAAGUUUCCUACGUGGGCUGCAACAUGGCCAAGUACUAGAGGAACAUAGAAAUAGAAAAUAGAAGUCAGCUUUUACGUGUCCUAUACGUGGCCAUUUCUUAGUGCUUAAGUAAGAGCCAGGCCAAGAUAUUUUAGACUUGCACGGGCGCUCGCCUCCUAUAAAUAGCUGUGAGUCACGCUGCUCAAAGCACAACUCUGAGAGAAAGACAGAAACACUGGAGGAGAGAGCCUGAGAGAAAGAAAGACACCAGAAAGAUAAAGAAGAGAGAUGAAGAAUUCAUGCAUGCAUCCACAUUUGAAGAAGAAUAGAGCGUUUAGGUGCUGCUGGAGGGAAGAGCCAAGCCAUACAUCAGAAGAAAUAUGAGUAUAUGUGUGUUCGUCAGAUUUCAUACAAAGAUGAUGGAGUUUCAUCUUCCUGCAGAAUAUUAUUCUAAAGGAGAAAUCAUAUUAUCUAAGGCAAGUAGCUGCUUUGCUAAACUCCCUGAUCUCUCCUUAUUGUUGUCUUGCUUGAUUAUCUGGUAAUAUCAUUGCACCUUGAUCCUUAUUGAUCCUCUCUUGAUCCUUGAGAGAGGGAUGUGUUGUUCUCGUAUUCCAUUUGUUGAUGGAAUCAGAGUAUUUUGGAGGAACUCGUGAGAAGUCAUACGCGUAUUGUCUUUGACUGAUAUUACAGUGAUUCUACCGUUGAUUCAAACACAUAUCCUAUUUUGUAUUGGUGUCACGACAGCAAACAUAUUGUAUCGGUCACAGUUCAGGUAUGGGACUGUCUGAGUUCUCCGCUAAGGACGGACCUUGUUCGGGGCGUGACAAAUUGUCACGCCCCAAGUGAGUCUUAGCCGUGACAAUCGCCACAUGCUUAUAAAUCUCAAAUUUAUAAGCAUGUUAGGCUAGUAAACAAAUUAUUUUCCAGUAUGCACAAGAGCCAACUUUAUUCAUUACUAGCUAUUACAAAGGUUAUGAUACAUGCAACUUCUUUAUUUACUCCCAACCCGUAGAUCUACUCCUACUGUUCAUCAUUCUCAUCAGCACAUCCAUCAUUUGCUACUUCUGCAAAAUCAACAACAAUAGCAAGAAUGAGUAUGAUCUCAUACUCAGCAAGCACACGGGUACACAGGAACUUCUCUCAGCAAAUAGUGACAGAACACAGGGGUUAGUUGUAAAGAAAGAGUUUGUUGGCAGAGGAAGAUAAUGGAGAUUAAUUUAAAGAAAAGGAAAGAAAUAACAGACAUCACACAUGACCGCAAGCUUCCCACCCCGGGAGUCACAGGGGUGAAAUUUCACACUUUUACGCUCUUAAGAGGGGUACUCCGACGUCAGCAGCCUCGACUAGAACCACACAGGCGCUAGUAGAGCAGAGCUCUCUAUUCCCCCAAGAACCGCCCACUCGACUUACUAGUGUCGAUCGCUCCUACGGAUCCAUCACCGACACGUUCCUGAACAAGGUCCGUCCUUAGUGGAGAACUCAGACAGUCCCAUACCUGAACUAUGACCGGUACAAUACGUUUGCCGUCGUGAUACCAGAUUUUAUAAAAUUUACUAGACAAGGAUUAGCAAGAGGAAGUACAUGCAAGACCAAAAUAAAUAUCACUAGGCUUUUCACAGAACCAACCAUCCAUGCAUGAGUCAUUAAUCCAUGUGCUCACAUGCAUGUACCAAGGAUUUCUCCACCCUGAUCAUAAACCAAAAGGUAGUACUGUGGUAUGCAUGCUAGCUUCAAGAGAUGUACAGGAAUCAAAUGAACAGUGCACAUUAUAGAGCUUCAGGAGUACUACUAGCUAUAGAGCAUGGCAUGAAUAGCGAGACAAACAAGGAAUAGGACAGCUAGAAAGGCUAGAUGGAACGCAUGCUUGCCUGACUCGCUGCUUCCUCUAAGCGCUCUUGCCGAUCAGUGUGAUUCUACUCCAUGCAAUGCUAGUUAGUGAACUGGUUUGUAUGUUGGGAUGAAUACUACAGCGUGCUCUUGCUCCUCUAUUUAUAGGCAUGGUAGGGUAGGAAAUGGAGCUGGAUAAGUAUAACUCAGCAGCCUCGAAUUGGCUUUUUAGGUUGAUAUCAGAGCUCCCUGAUCUCUCCUUGUUCUAUGCGGGAAUACCCAUUUAAUUUUUUGCAUUAAUUAGUCACAAAUAUACUCAUGAAUAGUUUCAACAGAUAUCCAUGCAAAUAAAUAAUAUAGCGUACAUAUUAUUGGUGAAAUUUGAGGAUGAAUGGGAAAUAAAUAGACAUCUUGUUAGAUUAAUACAUGACUUAAUAUUUGUGUAGAUUUUCUUGUUUAAGACAACUGGUGAUAUUGUUCCAGUAAUGGGACAAUUGCUAUACCACUAUCUAUCCUUUUUGUUAAUGAAUUUACCAAAUAAAAUGUUUAGUGUUGCCAACUUAUGUUAUAGCAGAUAUAUCCAUGAAUUGUAGAAAGAUUGCAAAUCCUUUUUUGCAUUAUUUUUAAUUAAUUAUUGAGCAUGCAUCAAAUAAACUGUUCCAAAUAUGAUGGGAGGGAAUUUGAUCACUAAAAAAAAGCAUAGAUGUUAGUGUUGAAUUUCGGGGACGAAAUUCUUAUAAGGUGGGGAGGAUGUAAUAACCCAUAUUUUUGGGUUAUUGAUUUAAAUUAAGAUAAGUAAUUAAAUUUGUAUUAUCUACUAAGUUAUGCUAAAUUCUUGAUUCAAAGAAUUAAGAUAGAGCUGUAAAUUUUUUUACAUGCAUUAAAUAUUAGAAAAUUACACACUAAGUAAGAGUAGGUGCAUGUGCGCAUAGACUUGCAUUCAUGCUCACGUUGUGAUAUAGGCAUGGGAAAUACUACUAGCUAGUUGGCCAUAUAAGCUAGACAAUUACAAGAGAGUUAACGUUGCAUUUGAAUAGAUGAAAUUAGACCAGGUACAAAUGAUACACCGGUAGAUAUUUUCUAGUACUAGAGCUCCAAGUCAAAUAGGUGCAUGUAUGUAAUCAUGAGGAAGAGGCAACGUGGCUUGGUUCUAGAGGAUAUGCAUGCAUGUGUCAGGUGUUUUGAAAACUCUAGUGAAUCAACUACACGUAUAGAAGAGGAAUGGAAGCAAACGUGGGUAGAUGCAUGCAUCGGCUGUAUCUCUAGAAACCCAAGUUUCCUACAUGGGCUGCAACAUGGCCAAGUACUAGAGGAACAUAGAAAUAGAAAAUAGAAGUCAGCUUUUACGUGUCCUAUACGUGGCCAUUUCUUAGUGCUUAAGUGAGAGUCAGGCCAAGAUAUUUUAGACUUGCACGGGCGCUCGCCUCCUAUAAAUAGCUGUGGGUCACGCUGCUCAAAGCACAGCUCUGAGAGAAAGACAUAGACACUGGAGGAGAGAGCCUGAGAAAAAGAAAUACACCAGAAAGAUAAAGAAGAGAGAUGAAGAAUUCAUGCAUGCAUCCACAUUUGAAGAAGAAUAGAGCGUUUAGGUGCUGCUGGAGGGAAGAGCCGAGCCAUACAUCAGAAGAAAUGUGAGUAUAUGUGUGUUCGGCACAUUUUAUACAAAGAUGAUGGAGUUUCAUCUUCUUGCAAAAUAUUAUUCUAAAGGAGAAAUCAUAUUAUCUGAGGCAAGUAGCUGCUUUGCCUAACUCCCCGAUCUCGCUUUAUUGUUGUCUUCUUUGAUUAUCGGUUAAUAUUGUUGCACCUUGAUCCUUAUUGAUCCUCUCUUGAUCCUUAAGAGAGGGAUGUGUUGUCCUCGUAUUCCAUUUGUUGAUGGAAUCAUAGUAUUUUGGAGGAACUCGUGAGAAGUCAUACACGUAUUGUCUUUGACUGAUAUUACAGUGAUUCUACCGUUGAUUCAAACACAUAUCCUAUUUUGUAUUGGUGUCAUGACGGCAAACAUAUUGUACCGGUCACAGUUCAGGUAUGGGACUGUCUGAGUUCUCCGCUAAGGACGGACCUUGUUCGGGAACGUGUCGGUGAUGGAUCCGUAAGAGCGAUCGACAUCAGUAGGUCCAGGUGUUCGGGUCUUAGUGGGUACAAGAGCUCUGCUCUUCUGGAACCUGUGUGGUUCUAGUCGAGACUGUCGACGUCGGAGUACGCCUCUUAAGAGCGUAAAAGUGUGAAAUUUCACCCCUGUGACUCCCGGGUUGGGAAGCUUGCGGUCAUGUGUGAUGCCAAUAAUUUCCUUGUUCAUUUCGUCUGUUGAUCUACACCAUCAUACCAUCGCUCCUUGUUGAAUAGUGAAGUAUCUGCUUGCUGAGUAUGAUUUGUCGUACUCACCCUUGCUUCCUCUGUUUUUUUAGAUGCGAACGAGGUAACUUAAGUAUGUUCAGAAGAUGUCUUCAUCCAAGACUAGGCUUGACCAGCGGGUGGGAAGCGACUAGAGAAUAUGACGUCUUUACUCAACUAUUUGUAGAUGUCAAGGAAUUUGUAUAGUAAAUAUAUUAGCUUUUGUGAUCCACUUCUGGUUUAUGCCUGCUUUAUCAUGCCUUGUGUGACUAUAGGCCUCUGGUCUAUAGGCGCGCGGCGGCUGUCUCGCCUAGGCCCGGUCUCGGGGCGUGACUUGCUUCCUCCGUUUUUUUAGAUGCGAACGAGGUAACUUAAGUAUGUUCAACUUAAGUAUGUUCAGAAGAUGUCUUCAUCCAAGACUAGGCUUGACCAGCGGGUGGGAAGCGACUAGAGAAUAUGAUGUCUUUACUCAACUAUUUNNNNNNNNNNCGUACUCACCCUUGCUUCCUCUGUUUUUUUAGAUGCGAACGAGGUAACUUAAGUAUGUUCAACUUAAGUAUGUUCAGAAGAUGUCUUCAUCCAAGACUAGGCUUGACCAGCGGGUGGGAAGCGACUAGAGAAUAUGAUGUCUUUACUCAACUAUUUGUAGAUGUCAAGGAAUUUGUAUAGUAAAUAUAUUAGCUUUUGUGAUCCACUUCUGGUUUAUGCCUGCUUUAUCAUGCCUUGCGUGACUAUAGUCCUCCUGGUCUAUAGGAGCGCGGCGGCUGUCUCGCCUAGGCCCGGUCUCGGGGCGUGACAGUUAAGGCGUGAUUAAUUAAGCAUUAACCAUCAGUGGAUCACAAAAGCUCAUAUAUAUUGACUACAGAAAUUUCUUUACAUGUACAAAUAGACAAAAUACAUUAAAAUCUCUAGUCGUUUCCCACCCACUCGUCGAGCCUAUUCUUGGAUGACAUCUUCUGGGCAUACUUAAGUUACACCGACUGCAUCUAAGAAAUAGAGGAGACAAGGGUGAGUACGAUAAAUCAUACUCAGCAAGCAAAUACUUCACUAUUCAAUAAGGAGCAAUGGUAUGAUGGUGUAGAUCAACAGACGAACUGAAUUCAGAGGAUAACAAUAUAACAACCAUUGGAAUCAUAUUUUGAUGUAAAUGGACAAAAGAACAAAAUACCAGAUUUAGUAAAAACAACAAGGAAUCUAUUGGCAUCACACAUGACCGCAAGCUUCCCAACCCGGGAGUCACAGGGGUGAAAUUUCACACUUUUACGCUCUUAAGAGUGGUACUCCGACGUCGACAGCCUCGACUAGAACCACACAGGCGCUAGUAGAGCAGAGCUCUCUAUUUCCCCAAGAACCGCCCACUCGACUUACUAGUGUCGAUCGCUCCUACGGAUCCAUCACCGACACGUUCCUGAACAAGGUCCGUCCUUAGCGGAGAACUCAGACAGUCCCAUACCUGAACUGUGACCGGUACAAUACGUUUGCCGUCGUGAUACCAGAUUUUAUAAAAUUUACUAGACAAGGAUUAGCAAGAGGAAGUACAUGCAAGACCAAAGUAAAUAUCACUAGGCUUUUCACAGAACCAACCAUCCAUGCAUGAGCCAUUAAUCCAUGUGCUCACAUGCAUGUACCAAGGAUUUCUCCACCGUGAUCAUAAACCAAAAGGUAGUACUAUGGUAUGCAUGCUAGCUUCAAGAGAUGUAUAGGAAUCAAAUGAACAGUGCACACUAUAGAGCUUCAGGAGUACUACUAGCUAUAGAGCAUGGCAUGAACAGCGAGACAAACAAGGAAUAGGACAACUAGAAACGCUAGAUGGAAUGCAUGCUUGCCUGACUCGCCGCUUCCUCUGAGGACUCUUGCCGAUCAGUGUGAUUCUACUCCAUGCAAUGCUAGUUAGUGAACUGGUUUGUAUGUUGGGAUGAAUACUACAGCGUGCUCUUGCUCCUCUAUUUAUAGGCAUGGUAGGGUAGGAAAUGGAGCUGGAUAAGUAUAACUCAGCAACCUCGAAUUGGCUUUUUAGGUUGAUAUCAGAGCUCCCUGAUCUCUCCUUGUUCUAUGCGGGAAUACCCGUUUAAUUUUUUGCAUUAAUUAGUCACAAAUAUACUCAUGAAUAGUUUCAACAGAUAUCCAUGCAAAUAAAUAAUAUAGCGUACAUAUUAUUGGUGAAAUUUGAGGAUGAAUGGGAAAUAAAUAGACAUCUUGUUAGAUUAAUACAUGACUUAAUAUUUGUGUAGAUUUUCUUGUUUAAGACAACCGGUGAUAUUGUUCUAGUAAUGGGACAAUUGCUAUACCACUAUCUAUCCUUUUUGUUAAUGAAUUUACCAAAUAAAAUGUUUAGUGUUGCCAACUUAUGUUAUAGCAGAUAUAUCCAUGAAUUGUAGAAAGAUUGCAAAUCCUUUUAUGCAUUAUUUUUAAUUAAUUAUUGAGCAUGCAUCAAAUAAACUGUUCCAAAUAUGAUGGGAGGGAAUUUGAUCACUAAAAAAAAGCAUAGAUGUUAGUGUUGAAUUUCGGGGACGAAAUUCUUAUAAG
rnacentral:lncRNA from 1 species